GUUCAAUAGAAACUUCUUCAAUUUAGCAUUACCCACCUACAUGCUCCAAGGAUUAUUUUAGUUCCUGUUUUUGGAUUUAUCAUCGUUGAUAGACUGCAGGCUAGGACAUAUUCAUUCAGUUAAAAGGACUCCAUAUGCUCCAUUGUAUUACAGUAUGUAAUUUGGAGAACAUUUUUUCAGCUGAAAGCCUUUUUGUCAAGUGCUGAUGAGUUUAAUCUUGAAGAGAAGAUUAAGAAGAAAAAAGGAAAGUAAGGAAGUAGUGUUAAUUUUAUUAAAUCUUCAAUCAAACCCUCUGUUCAUGAGAUUCAUUGGAACAAUACCAGUUUUUAGAUCCUGUUCUACUGCUAGCCACAAGAUGAUUGAUCCCUGUUGGUGUGACAAGAGGCAGAAAUAGAAAGGAAGAAAGAGAAGAUGAAGAGGAUGACAACACUUCCUUCAGGAUUCUCUCAACAACUGAACUAUUAUGCAUUAUAAUUAUAGUUGACUUUCAUCCUGAUUUAUAUAGACUUAUAAUAUAAUAACAGGUAAUAUUAAUAAUAGGAAUCAACAAUAAUGUUAAUUCCAAUAGUAAUAUAUUAAUAAGAGUUUGUAGUAAUAGUAAUAUUAAUGAAGAUUUAUUAAUGGUCAAUAAUAAUUGUAACAGUUCAAUUCCUUAUCACAGCAUUUCAAAGCGGGUAGAUCUGCCUUAUCACCCUGCACACAUCACACUCAUCCUGGGCCUCCACCACAUA